UUCCAAAGAAAAAACCUACGUAAUAUUUUUUAAUGUAAAAAGUAUAAAUUAUUUGAUUAAAUAAUCUAAGUCAAUCUAAUAUUUUUAUAUAAAUAUUAACGACUUAAAUUUUCCUAAACGCAUGGUGAAGAUUAAAUAAAAAAUAUCCCGCCCACCACCCCAAAAAAUAAAGUUUUCGCUAUGAUUAACAUUUGUACAAGUGAAAGAAUAUAAAAGUAUAAACACUCAAUUUAAAGUUUUCUUUAAAUGUCAUCCCGAUAAGUAUUCUCAAUCAUUUGUAUAAACACUUGUAAUAAAAAUGUCAAUAAUAAAUAAAUAAUAAUCAAAAUAAAAUGAAAAACUAUGGGUGCAUAUACAUAUUUAAAUAUAUAUUUUUUGUUAGUUAGUGGGCUCAGAUAAAGUUUUGAAAUAUUAUGAAGAUUUCGUCAUCGUCCAAAAAUAUUUAUUUUUUAUUACGUAUUUAUAUAUAUAAUGUCCUUCUUUUAUUUGGAAAGACCUCAAAAACUGACGGAGGUUUCCUCAUUGACCAUAUAUUUAUUUAUAUAAAAUAAAUAAAUUGAAAAGUAAAAUUAACUUUUGUAUUGGGGUGACCUUAAAUAUUCAAAUGGAGGGAUAAUUUUACUGGCCAUGUCUAUUUUUUACAAAGCAACAAGGGACAAAAUGUCUAAAAACAGUUCCUAAAUCAGUCUAAACAUAGCAAAAUAACUCAUCCAUUCAGUGCAUUUUCCGAAUGCAAAUCAACCCAAACAAUAAAAAAUAUAUUAGCACAUAUCAAUAAUGUUGAUGGCAAUAAAAGAAAAACAAAAACACAGGACAAUAAUAAAACAACAAAUCCAACAAGAGAAGACAAAUAUGAUAAUUAACUAUAAUAACCAGAGACAACAAAAAAAUCUCAGACAGUGAGGGUGUCGGCGUUGCUUCAACGGAAUCAUCGGAGCAACGCCGUAACAUAGAAAAGCGGCCAGAUCUGGCCAAAUUCUCAGUAAAUAGUGGCGGAAAAAGGAGGAAAAGGGAGGCGCGUCUGGCGGUUUCUGCUGGUGAGGUCGCCGGCAGAUCUGGUUCGGCUUUGGGUGGCAGAAAUAGUUGGAGCUUUGGUAGCUGUUGGCCGGAGUUGUUGUUGUCAGUGCCUGGACGGAUUUAUAGGGGAAAAGGGGUCGGCCGGGUGGUGGCUGGAAGCUCGCCGGUCGUCACCUCCGACGAACCAGCGUGCAGCAGCGGAGAUGGAAGGAAGAGAAAGACGUGAGAUAUAGAGAGAAAAUGAGAUAAAAAAUCUGAUGUUUUCUAUUUUGUGUGUUCAACAAUUGCCUCCUCCUCUUUUAUUUGUAAUAAAAAGAACCUUUUUUUUAUUAAAAAAAAAAAAAUUACCUCUUUAAUCACUAAAUAGUAUAUUACUAUUAAUCAAUAGUAUGUUACUAUUAAUCAAUAGUAUAUUCAAUUAAUCAUUUCAAUUGACAUCUUUUAAACAGUUGACAUGAUUUUAAUUUGAUUAAUUUAUUACUUUGUAUAUUAAAAUAAUUAAAUUGAUUCACUUUUGUAGGUCGUAUUAAAUAACUUAUAAAAUAAUAAAUAUCGAUGUAUAAUUAUAGAAAAAUAUAAACAACAAAUAAAAUAUAAUUAUCUUGAAAAAAUAUAUUAUGUUAUAAUAAUUAAAAUUAUACUGUGCAGUAAAAAAUUACAGUGUUGUGUUGUGUACGUAUUUAAUGAUUGUGUAAAAAUCUUAAAAUAAUAAUAAACUGAUAAAAAUUUACAAAAUUAAGGAUAAUUAUGUAAAAUUAAAAUAUGAUAAUAAAUUUGUAGAAAAUUCUAAAAUAAUGAUAAUUAUCAAUAACUUGUCGGAUAUGACAAAACAUUAUUGUGUGUUCCUUGUCAAAUGUGACAAAACAUUAAAUUAUUAUACUAUACAUGAAUAAUUGAUCCAACUCAGCGUUUGCAGAAUGUAAAAUAUAGAAAUUGAUUUGUAAUUAUGAAAAAAUAUAAAGGAUGUUGAAAAUAUCAAAAAAUAUAAUUAAUUUGAAAAUAUUAUAAAAAUAUGAUGUCAUGUCGUGCACGUAUGCAGACAAUUGUAAAAAUAUUGACUGAUAAAAAAUUUCAAUAUACAGAGAAUUAUCAAUAAAUUAUAAAAAGUAAGAAUAUAAAAGUAAAUUGAUAAAAUCUUAAAGUAAAGAGGAAUAUCAAUAAUUUAUUAACAAAUGUAAAAAAAAUACGUGAAAAUUGUAUUUUGUGCCCUUUAACGAUCAGAAAGCCUGAAGACAUUAAUUUUAAGCACGGAGAGCAAAAAUUGGGUGUCAACAGUUGCCUCUUUUUGUUUGAAGGCGAUGUAGAAGUUUCAAAACGAAAAUAUUGACGUGUAGCCAAUUUUGCUCGAUAAAAAAUAAUUUUGAUAAAAAUUCAACCGAACUUCAAUUUAGAGCUGCCUACAUACCUCGAGUUGUAUGAGGAUCAGGUCGGGUGUAAUUCGAAAGAAUAGGCAAUUACCUCCUGCCUUGUUAUUAAGGGUGGAUGACCAUGUAGAAUGAUUAUUGAGAGACGAACUAUUUGGAAACAGAAGUGUUUAUCUAUUUCCAAUGUCCCUUUUAAAAUUGUCCAGUAUCGAGCUGUGAGAUGUUGUGGAUGCAGGAUUGUGUACUUGCUGGGGAGAAAGAAUGAUUAGGGGAUUAUGAUGACCGAACUCUGCAUAGAGCUUCCUACAUAUCUCAAGUGUCGCGAGAAUCAGGUCAAUAUAGUUCCAGAUGAGAAAGUAGAAAAUUUUGAAGCAGUUCUCAAAAUUUGCCUCAGUGUAUGAUGUAUGGGUUUUAAAAAAAUAUCUUUUGUUUUGAAUUAUAUUUCUGGUUUAACAUAUGGAUGAUGUCUCCGAUUAUUUGCGGAGACUUGAGGAUGAAUGACGCCUCCGAUUGUUUACGGGGACUUAUGUGAUAAAUGAAAGAUGUCUUUGAUUGUAUACGAAGAAUUGAUGCAUCACAUCUCUAAUUAUUUAUGAAUAUUGAUGUUGAUCGUCAUCUUCAAUUGUCUACGAAGACCGUGUGAUGAAUGAUGAUGUCUUCGAUUAUUUACGAAGACUUGAUCAUGACACCUCCAAUUGUCUAUGGAGGCUGAUGUUGCUUGUUGUCUCCGAUUGUCUACGGAGACUAAUGUGAGUGACAUCUCCAGUUGUCUAUGGAGACUGAUGUUGAUCGUUAUCUUCGAUUAUCUACGGAGACUGUGUAAUGAAUGAUAAUGUCUUCGAUUAUUUACGAAGACUUAAUGCAUGACACCUCAAAUUAUCUAUGGAGAUUGGUAUGAAUUAUCGUCUCCUAUUGUCUACAGAGACUGAUGUGAUGAAUGAUGUUGUCUUCUAUUAACUAUGAAGACUUGAUGCAUGACAUCUCCAAUUGUCUAUGGAGACUGAUGUUGAUUGAGGUGUCUUCAGUUAUCUACGAAGAUUUGAUAACAUCUCCAAGUGUUUAUGGAGACGGAUGUUGAAUGGUGAUGUCUUCGAUUGUCUAUGGAGACUGAUGUUGAUUGUUGUCUCCGAUUGUCUACGAAGUCUAAUGUGAAUGGCAUCUCCAAUUGUCUAUGAAGGUUGAUGUUAAUUGCCGUCUCCGAUUAUCUAUGAAGACUAAUGUAAUGAAUGAUGAUAUCUUUGAUUGUUUACGAAGACCUGUAUGAUAUCUUCAAUUAUCUAUGGAGACUGAUGUAUGACGCCUCUGAUUGUCUACGAAGACUAUGUGAUGAAUGUUGUCUUCGAUUGUCUACGAAAAUUAUGCCAUGAAUAUUGUCUUUAAUUGUAUACGAAGACUAUGUACGAUAUCUCCGAUUGUCUAUGAAAACUUGAUGAUAAAAUGACAUCUCUGAUUGUCUACAGAGACUAUGUAAUGAAUGUUGUCUUCGAUUGUCUGUGAAGAUUAUGUUGAUAUCUCCAAUUGUCUAUGAAGAGUGAUGAUAAAAUGAUGUCUCUGAUUGUCUAUAGAGACUAUGUAAUGAAUGAUGUCUCCGAUUGUCUAUGAAGACUAUGUCAUAAAUAUUGUCUUCGAUUGUAUAUGAAGACUAUGUACGGUAUCUCUAAUUGUCUAUGGAGACUUAAUGAUAAAAUGAUGUCUUUGAUUAUCUACAUAGACUAUGUAAUGAAUGUUGUCUUCGAUUGUCUACGAAAACUAUGUUGACCGUUGUCUUCGAUUAUUUAUGAAGACUGAGGCCAUCAACUAGUGAGGUGACUGAAAUCUAAUAGCCCUAUCAACUAGUGAGGCUAUUGAUGUGUAAAAAAUUCUCGACUUGGGAGAGAAAGAAAAAAAAUAUAAUAGCCUCUCGAGUGACGGGGCUAUAAAGAAUAAUACUCAAAGAUGAGCGCCUAACUGAAAAAUAAAAUGUUUAUAUUUAAAGGUAUGUGCUUGAAAGAAAAAAGGAAAACAUCCAUAUUUGAAAAUUAAAAGCCUUAAAUAAAAAGUAAAAAAUGCAUGCAUGUAAAAGUGGAUGUCUUGAAAAGUAAAGAAAUGUAUGUAUGUGAAAAUGAGGUCUUGAAUGAAAAGUAAAGAAAUGUCUGUAUGUGAAAAGAGGUGUCUUGAAUGGAAGGUAAGAAAAUGCCCAUAUGCGAAAGUGGGCUUCUUGAAAAAAAAAAGUAUUUUCUUGAUAAAAGUGUUGAAACUUGAAGAAUGCAUGGUUAUGUCUUAACUUCGAUUGAUACCAAUAAUUAGUAGUGUGUAUAAGAAUUUCCCAUUUCUUUCCCAACUGACUGAGAUCGACUUCAGGGUAACUCAUAUAGUUUCAAGUGGUACCUCAAACAUACCUAAGUAUCAAUAAGAUUUAUUUAUCUUGCUUCAAAUAAAGGUUUCGUGAUACUAUACCUGGCCUCAUGUUUCAAGUGCCCUCUCCAGAAAGAAAGUCUCAUUUCACACAUAUUUGAGUAAUUUUUUUUAUUUGGGGACGUCGAGAAAAAUACAAUCAUACUCGAAAGGAAAUUCAAUACAUGCAGUUGUGAUACUAUAGGCCUGAUCUUCAUGUAAGUAUACACUAAUGUGAGAACACUUGAAAUAGGAUCAUGUAGGACUUUUUAUUGGCUUAUAAUGUAGGCUUGGGGACGGGUAGGAUGAUAUUUGGGAUAAAAGUGACUAAUUCCUCAAUAAUUAUUACAUUGCAUUUGUGCUUUCUACAUUUAUUAUAUUUUGGCGCGUGAUUUUUCUUUGUUGUGCUUCGUUGUCUCUUGUUUUUGUAUUUGCUUCGACUUCUUUUGAAUCGUGUAUUGAAGUUUCCCCCUUUUUUUUUAAGAUACUAUAUUUAUUUUUUAUUUUUUUUGGUGUGUGGGGGUUUUGCUUCUUUUGAAGUCUUUUUUUUUUCAAUUUUGUUCAUCUAGGAUAAUAUAUCCUUUGCGUUUUGCAUCUUUGAUCUUAAAUCUCUGUCCAUAAUUUGCAUGUAUUUAGUGCGCUCAAGGAGGUAGGGCCAAGAGAGGGAUAGUGCAUGUAAGCACUCAAAAAGGUAUAGGUGCAGAUGCGGUUGUCUAAAGAAAAGGUUUAGGCUCAAAAGAGGAAAUGCUAGGGGUUAAUGUCGUUUGGUGGGCUAUGAAAGGCUCAAUCGGGUCAAAGAAGGCCUAUGAUCAUUUUCUAAACUAAGUGAAACUUAGAAUUUCACCUCAACAGACAUUUAAGACAAGUUCUAGAUCAACAAUGCAAUGCAAUGAAUUAAACUAAAGCUCACCUCACAAUGCACAUGAGACGAUGAGGCAGGCUUCAUUCUUGUCUUGAAUGUAUGCAGGAGAAUUUUCAAGUGUUACUCGGGUAUGAUGAAGGGUAUCAAAAGAAUCUAUGGUUUACCAUGAAAUCAAUUAUUUACAUCAUACCAAAUCAUUCUUUCUCAUGCACAUUCCUAACUGUUUCCGUGUCAAUCAAAUCAAUUUUUUUUUAAAGAAUGGGAUCGAACCCAAAUGAGGGUUGCCUACGUAUCUUGUGAAAACAAGAAUCAGGUCUGCGUAGUUCAGCAAAAUUUGUGAAUUUGUAUAUGAAUGUAUGAUUGUAAAAAAAAUGAUGGCCAUUCUCGAAAAAAAAUGAUGGUCAUUCUCGAAAAUAAUAUGAAAGACGAUCAGGAAUUAUUUUUUUUAACAUAAAAAAUUAUUCUGAUCAAAUGAUCGAGAGAAUGAAUGUCAUGUAUAGGGAGAGCUUUGACACAACUUCAGUAUGCUGACAAGAUUGAAAAGUCAGACAUUGAAGAAAUUAUGACAUUAUUUCACCACAGUUGGCGAGAUUAUUAUAAUUGAAAAAAAUAUUAAAUUCUUAUUUUAGAGAGUGAGGAUCAAUAAGUUAUAAAUUUAAUAGUUCACGACGUUCGAAAAAAAAACUAGGUAAAAUUGAGUAAAGAUCUGAAGAUAGGCCGGCUAGGCACUAAUUCAAUGAGAUUUGGAUUUGAUGAGCUAUUAAUUUGCGCUCUUGAAGGCUUUUGAAGAGCGUCUUUGAACUGUUCUAAAAAAUUGCCCCAGUUUUGAAUACCGAAGAAAUUAUUCUAAAAGUUAGAGUCUGAACCCUAAUGCAGGGUUGCCUACGUAUCUUGUUAGGACAAGAAUCAGGUUAAAACGUAGUUCAAACAAUUUAUGAGUUUGUACAUUACGUGAUUUAUUUCCAGAAUAGAAACUUUCCUAAAUGGUUGAGAGUAGGACUGAAUGAUUGAAAGAAGGCUCAAUAACUGAAAUGCGUCGAUUCUGAAACUAUAGAAUUUAAAAAAGAUUUAGAGGAGUGUGAAACACCCCCCACGUGAACCACAAUGUGUGAGUGUAUGGCCAAAAACUCGAUGAAAUUGUGAUUUAUGAUCAAAUAAAAUAAAGAAUAAUGUGUAACUGUUUUAACAAUAUACAGAUACAGUGUAUUAAAUAAAUAAUUAACAAAAAAAUUGAUAAGGCAACAAAAUUAAUUUGCGCAAAUAAUGUAAAGAAUUCAUGAAAAAGUCUACACAAUUUGCAAUAUGAAACAGAUAAAGAAUCAAAGAAUUAAUAUAUGCAAAAAAUGUAAAAAUACCUCCCUCAAUUGAAAAAUUGAGUCGACCAUGGUUAGAACUUGUUGUUCAUCCCCAGCGGAGUCGUCAUUUUAUCAUGCCCUAUUUUCGCCAAGGUAAACACGUACGACUUAUGGACUCUAAAUGAAUUGAUUUUAUUACAGAGUCGCCACCUAAUUUUAAAGAAAAAUAAGGAAACCUAUUGAAUUAUUAACAUGUGCGAUUUUAUGUUUCAGUCUGCAAAAUUCAAUUGAGAUUCUAGGUAAGAGUUUAAAUUAUCCCGAAGGGAAGGGGUUAGGCACCCUUCAGGAUACACAAAUGUGGUAACCAGCUAAACUAAAUUUAUCAAAAAGAGAGAAGGUAUAUUGAAAAUAAUGUAAAAAUGUAUGUAUUAAAUAUAAAAUAAUUCUUUUAAAAAAAUAUAAAUAUUUUAAAACUAUGUAAAGGUAUAUGUAUAUUAAAUAUAUGAAUAGAAUAAAUUAUUAUAAAAUAUGUAAAGGACAUGUAUAAAAAUGUAUAAAUAAAUGUGAAAAGGAAAAGUACUUUAUAAUGUAUGAAAAACAGUGGCGGACCCAGGAUUUAAGGAGAGUGAGUGCUUACUAUAGAAAAAAAUAAAAAAUUACCUCAACCAGGUUUGAACCCGAGCACACCUACCAAUGGAGAGCCUUAAGAUCAACUUAAAUGACAAUGCACCUAACCAAUUUCUUGUUUAGCGGGUGCUUUUAUAUAAUUUAUAACCAUUUUUGUAUAUUUUUUAUGUAAUUAUACCUAUUCUACGUUGAGUUUAGUGGGUGUUGGAGCACCCAAAAUUUAUGUGUAGGUCCGCCCCUGAUGAAAAAGAAAUGUAUUUUGAUAUGCCAUGAAAAGAAAAAGUAUUUACCGAUAAUAUUUUUUAUCUGAUUAAAAUUAAGAAAAAAAGUAAAAUUUAUUUGAUAUGAAAAGACUAUAUAGUAUAUGAAUUACUUGAUUAACUUGAUUAUUUUAUGUAAUUGCAUCAAAAUAACAUAUAUGAUUUGUCGUAAAAAGUAUAAACAAAAGUAUAUCAGUAUAUGUAUGUAAAGAAAAGAAAAGAUUAUAUAAAGAAAAAUUGUUUCAAAGAAAAAACAUACGUAAUAUUUUUUAAUGUAAAAAGUAUAAAUUCUUUGAUUAAAUAAUCUAAGUCAAUCAAAUAUUUUUAUAUAAAUAUUAACAAUCUAAAUUUGCCUAAACGCGUGGUGAAGAUUGAAUAAAGAAUAUCCCGCCCAACACAAAAAAAAAUUAAAGUUUCCACUAUGAUUAACAUUUGUACAAGUGAAAGAAUAUAAAAAUAUAAAUACUCAAUUUAAAGUCUUCUUUAAAUGUCAUCCCGACAAGUAUUCCCACUAACCUGUAUAAACACUUGUAAUAAAAAUGUCAGUAACAAAUAAAUAAUAAUCAAAAUAAAAUAAAAAAAUAUGUGUGCAUAUACAUAUUUAAAAGUAUAUUUUUUGUUAGUUAGUGACUCAGAUAAAGUUUUAAAAUAUUAUAAAGAUUUCGUUAUCGUCUAAAAAUAUUUAUUUUUUAUUACGUAUUUGUAUAUGUAAUGUCUGUCUUUUAUUUGGGAAGGCCUCGAAAACUGAUGGAAGUUUCUUCAUUGGCCAUGUUUCUAUUUAUAUAAAAUAAAUAACUAAAAAAAAAGUUUCAUCUUUUGUAUUAGGGUGACUUCAAAUAUCCAGAUGGAGAGAUAAUUUUAUUGGCCAUGUCUAUUUUUUGCAAAGCAACAAGGGACAAAAUGUCUAAAAAUAGUCCCAAAAUCAGUCUAAACAUAGCGAAAUAACUCAUCCAUUCAGUGCAUUUUUCUGAUGCAAAUCAACCCAAACAGUAAAAAAUAUACGAAAAAGGCUCAAAAAUAUUCCUGAACUAUCUAAAAUAGGUCAAAAAUACUCCUCGUUAGAUUUUUGGCUCAAAAAUAUCCCUUCGUUAAAUAUUUGGCUCAAAAAUAACCCUCCCUCUAACGGAAUUCGAAAAAGGAUAAAAAGUACUCCUGAACUAUCUGAAAUUGAUCUAAAAUACCCCUCAUUAGUUUUUUGGCUAAAAAAUAUCCCUCUGUUAAAUAUUUGGCUAAAAAAAUACUCCUCUCCUUAACGAAAUUCCACCAAGCAUACCACCUAGAUAAAAAAAAAUACGUGGUCAUGCCACAUUACCAUCCACAUGUAAAAUGUUAUAUUUUUUAAUUAUAUGACAUUAUUCCUUUCUUUUUUAUUUUUAUUUAUAUUUAUAUUUUUUUGCAAAGCAAUUUUAUUGAUCUGGAAAAAAAUAUGAUCAGUAAAAUUAAAAAUUUCUAAAAAUAUUUAAAUAAAAUCAAUCAGUGUUUUUACUGAAUUUAAUUUAACGUUUUUGGAAUUACUAGACAUUGGGAAGGUACUAAAUAAAUUUUGUUAAAGGAGUACAAAGUAUUCGUUUUUUUUUCAUUAUAUGAUAAACUUUUUACUUUGAUUAUUAAAGAAAAUGAUAUCCAUGUUUUUCUAAUGAUUAAAAUAUAUUAAAUGUCAUUUACUUUUCUGGAAGUGAAAUUUUAAAAAAUUCUAAGAAUACUAACAUAAAUUUAGAAAAACUAUCAACAUUCAUUGAGUUUAGAAAAAAUAAAUCACCAUCACUGAAUGUAAUCUUUUUAUUUAACUCUUUCAUCAAGAAGAAAGGAAUGUCAUAUAAUUAAAAAAUACUAACAUUUUACAUGUGACUGGUAAUGUGGCAUAAUUACGUGAUUUUUUAUACGAAAAAGGCUAAAAAAUAUUUUGACUUUGAUGAUCCUAAUGGGAUUAGGUCGAUCUUAUCUUUUAGGGAAUCCUUGGUGCAACAGUGAAGUUGUAGCCAUGUGAUCAGGAGAUCAUAUGGUUCGAACUCCUAAUCACAAAAACCACCUCUUUUGUAUAGUUGUGACUUAUGAGGUGAAGUCGUGUAUUUAUAUGAUAUGUUUCGUCCCUAGUCCCUGUUCAUAGUUAAAGCCUUUAACUAACAAUUCUCAUCUCAACGUUUGUUCUAUGUUUUGUUAUAACUACUUCAGUGGUAAUAUUAAAACUAUAGUUACAAUCUACAAUGUAUUUAUAAUUUACUCAGAAUGCUAUUGCGCUGCUGCUUCAUGUGUUAAACUUUAAUGUUCAAGAAAUUUUAGAGGUCGAUAUAAUAAGUUGGCUAACUUUUUUCGGUGAAGUGAAAUAAUUUCUUUCUACUAUUAUUCAUUCCGUACGUAUGAUUAGAUUUUGAAUUUCAUUAGGAAGUACUACAACGAAUAAUGCAUCAAGGUAUUUUUGAGACUUUGCCGUAAAAAAAAAUCACGUUAUGCCACAUUAUAAUCCACAUGUAAAAUAUUAGUAUUUUUUAAUUAGGCCAAAGUUAUCGAUAGACACUCAAACUUGUUGCCAAAAUUCAUUCAGACACCUAAACUAAGGCCUGUUUCUAUCAGACCCCUAACCCCUCUCCCCUCCAUUUUAUUCCAAUUGGGCCUUUUUUACCCUACCAGCAAAAAACUCAAAGUGUGUGUUACGCACACGCGAUAACGUGGUAAAAUGAGCUAAUUGAAACCUGACACGUGACAUUGUGAGUUCAAUAAUUAAUAAAAAUUAAUUAUAAUUUUUUUAAAAAAAGUAUAUACAAAUGGCAUUGAGGAAAUUAUUAAAAAAUAAUUCUAAAAUUAUUUAAAAAAUAAAAAAAUAGAUUAUUUAAAAAAAUUAUAAAUUAUUUUAAAAAAUGAAAUAGAUUAUUUAAAAAAUAUUUUUUAAAAAAAUUAAUUAUUAAGAAAAAUUAUAAAUUUUUUUAAAAAAUGAAAAUAAACAAUGGCUAGGAUAUAAAUUAUAAAAAAAUAAUUAUAAGAUUAUUUAAAAAAUAAAAAUAAAAAAAUAAUUAUUUAAAAAAAUUAUAAAAUUUUUUAAAAAAUGAAAUAAAUUAUUAAAAAAUUAUUNNNNNNNNNNNNNNNNNNNNNNNNNNNNNNNNNNNNNNNNNNNNNNNNNNNNNNNNNNNNNNNNNNNNNNNNNNNNNNNNNNNNNNNNNNNNNNNNNNNNNNNNNNNNNNNNNNNNNNNNNNNNNNNNNNNNNNNNNNNNNNNNNNNNNNNNNNNNNNNNNNNNNNNNNNNNNNNNNNNNNNNNNNNNNNNNNNNNNNNNNNNNNNNNNNNNNNNACAAUUAUUAAAAAGAAAUUAUAAAAUUUUUUAAAAAAUAAAAAUAAAACUCCCUCACCUACCCCGAGCCCCCAACGUAUUGUAUUAUUAAAAAAUAAAAAUUGAAACCCCCUAAUGCUUUUUUGCCUAAUUAUAAAAAAGAAAUCAUAAAAUAUUUAAAAAAUAAAAAACUAAUUAUUAAAAAAAAAUUAUAAUUUGUUUUUAAAAAUAAAAUAAAACUCCUCUAUCUACCCUAUCCAUAGGGUAUUGUUUCAUCAAAAACCAAAAAUUGAGACCUCCUAAUACUUUUUGUUUUAUUAAAAAGGGUCUUUAGUGUUUUAAAAAACAAAAUUGUUAUUAAAAAAAAAUUUUUAGAUCCUUCAAUGCCACUUGUCAUCUUUUUAUUUAUAAAUUAAUAAAAAAAAUAUUCAUCACGCGCUUCUCACGAUGACACCAUAUGCGCAAUGCCACAUAAACAAAAAAGGUUCAAUUGGAACAUAAUGUGAGGCUAUAAGUCUUAAUUCAGAUGGUGACACCAUAUGCGCAAUGCCACAUAGACAAAAAAGGUUCAAUUGAAACAUAAUGUGAGGCUAUAAGUCUUAAUUUAGGUGUCUAGCAAUAAAUUUGAAUGUCUAUUAAUGACUGAACUUUAAAUUAUAUGACAUUUCUUUCUUCUUAAUAAAAGAGUUAAAUAAAAGAAUUAUAUUUAGUAAUGUUGAUUUAUUUUUUUUGAACUUAAUAAAUAUUGAUAGUUUUUCUAAUUUUAUGUUUAAUCAAGAAAAGUAAAUAACAUUUAAUAUAUUUUAAUCAUUAGUAAAACAUGAAUAUAAUUUUUUUCAAUAAUCUAAGUGAAAAAUUUAUCAUAUAAUAAAAAAAAUUGAAUAAUUUAUAUUACUUUAAUAAAAUUUAUUUAGUAUCUUUUCAAUGUCAAGAAAUUCAAAAAAUGUUAAACUUAAUCCAGUAAAAUUGAUUUAUUUUUAAAAUUUUUUAAUUUUACUGAUUAUAUUUUUUUUCAAAUCAAUAAAAUUGCUUUGUAAAAAAAAAAAAGUCAUAUAAUUAAAAAUAUUCUUCUAUUAAAUAUUUGACUCAAAAAUACUUUUUUUUUUAUCCAUUUCAGAUAGUUUAGCGAUAUUUUUGAUUUUUUUUUAAUUUUGUUAGAGGAAGAGAUAUUUUUUAGCCAAAUAUUCAAUAAAAAACAGUUCAUGAGUAUUUUUAAGCAUUUUCCGAAAAAUAUAUUAGCAACAUGUCAAUGAUGUUGAUGGCAGUAAAACAAAAACAAAAACACAGUUCAGGAGUAUUUUUAAGCAUUUUUCAAAAAAUAUAUUAGCAACGUAUCAAUAAUGUUGAUGGCAGUAAAACAAAAACAAAAACAAAAACACAGUACAAUAAUAAAACAACAGAUCCAGCAAGAGAAGACAAAUAUGAUAAUUAACUAUAAUAACCAGAGACAACAAAAAAUCUUAGACAGUGAGGCUGUCGGCGUUGCUUCAACGGCAAUCAUCGGAGCAACGCCAGAAAAUAGAAAAGCGGCCAGAUCUGGCCAAUUUCUCAGUAAAUAGUGGCGGAAAAAGGAAGAAAAGGGAGGCGCGUCUGGCGGUUUCUUCUGGUGAGGUCGCCGGCAGAUCUGGUUCGGCUUUGGGUGGCAGAAAUAGUUGGAGUUUUGAUAGCUGUUGGCCGGAGUUGUUAUUGUCAGUGCCUGGAUGGAGUUAAGAGGGGAAAAGGGAUCGGCCGGUUGGUUGCUGGAAGCUCACCGGUCGUCACCUCCGGCGAACCAGCGUGUAGCAGCGGAGAUGGAAGGGAGAGAAAGACGUGAGAUAAAGAGAGAGAAUGAGAUAAAAAAUCUGAUGUUUUCUAUUUUGUGUCUUUAACAAUUGCCUCCUCCUCCUUUAUUUAUAAUAAAAAGAACCUCCUUUUUUUAUUAAAAAAAUAAAAAAUUACCUCUUUAAUCAUUAAAUAAUAUAUUAUUUUUAUUUUUACUAUUAAAUAGUAUAUUACUAUUAAUUAAUAGUAUGUUACUAUUAAUCAAUAAUUCAAUCAAUCGUUUCAAUUAUUAUCUUUUAAAAAGUUGACAUGAUUUUAAUUUGAUUGAUUUAUUAUUGUGUGUAUUAAAAUAAUUAAAUCGACUCACUUUUGCAGGUUGUAUUAAAUAACGUAUAAAAUAAUGAAUAUCGAUGUAUAAUUAUAGAAAAAUAUAAAUAACAAAUAAAAUAUAAUUAUCUUGAAAAAUAUACUAUACUAUAAAUAAUUAAAAUUAUACUGUGUAGUAAAAAAUUACAGUGUUGUGUUGUGUACGUAUGUAAAUGACUGUGCAAAAAUAUUAAAAUAAUAAUAAAUUGAUAAAAAUUUUAAAAUUUACAAAAUUAUGGAUAAUUAUGUAAAAUUAAAAUAUGACAAUAAAUUUGUAGAAAAUUCUAAAUAAUGACAAUUAUCAAUAACUUGUCGGAUGUGACAAGACAUUAUUAUGCCAUCCUUGUCAUAUGUGAAAAAACAUCAAAUUAUUAUACUGUACAAAAAUAAUUGAUCUAACUCAGCGUUUGCAGACUCUAAAAUGUAGAAAUUGAUUUGUAAUUAUGAAAAAAAUAUAAAGAAUGUUGAAAAUAUCAAAAAAUGUAAUUAAUUUGAAAAUGUUAUAAAAAUAUGAUGUCAUGUCGUGCACGUGUGCAGAUGAUUGUAAAAAUAUUGACUGAUAAAAAAUCCCAAUGUACAGAGAAUUAUCAAUAAAUUAUAAAAAGUAAAAAUAUAAAAGUAAAUUAAUAAAAUCUUAAAGUAAGGAUGAAUAUCAAUAAUUUAUUAACAAUUGUAAAAAAAUAUGUGAAAAUUGUAUUUUGUGCCCUUUAACGGUCAGGAAGCCUGAAGACAUUAAUUUUAAGUAUGAAGAGCAAAACUUGGGUGUCAACAAUAUCUAUGCAACCAUUCCAUAUCGGCUAAUAGACAUAGGUGCAUACUGGUGAUAGGAGAUGCGCAUUAAGGAAUGAAUGCAAGGUACAUAAUUAAUAUCACAACUCAUCAUAAUUGUCUUCAUCAGGACCAUCAUCAUCGUAAUCAACCUCCGGCCUUGCCAGGUAUCAAUGCAUCAUCAAUAUAUCCUCCGAUCUUAUGGAAUAUGAGCAUCACAAUAGUUAUUACCGAAUAACAUACACUAAAAUACUCAUAAGCAUAAGCAAUCACCAUAGAAUAUCUAUCUAGUCAAUACUUCCCAACCACUCGUUAUUAGUUAAUCAACACUUAUUAUAAUAGAAUCACUAGUUCGCUAGUCAUCACAGAAUCCUUAUUCACAUGAUAACAACUAACCACUAUUUAUUUAAUAGUUAACGUCUAACAUAUAGUCAAGGUUCAUCAUUAGACCAAAACCGUCAUUUAUCCACCAUUCGUUAUUAUCAACUACUCAUCCUAUAUCUAUUAAUCAUUACUAAACAACACAUUACUACUUAUUAUCCAACCAUUUUUUAUUAACUGACAUCAUUCCUUAACUAAUCAUCAUUAGCUACCAUGUUUCAACUAAGCAAGAUUCAUUAACUAAUACAUUAGAUUCCUAGCCAUUAAGUGCUAUAGUCCCCUAAUAGACAAUUAGUUACCACAUAGCUUAACCGUCUAACCAGAAGAGCAGUCAUAAGAUCACAUUUCAGCUAUAAUCACAUCAUUUAUAAUGGUAAAUAAUCAUGAACGUACCAAAUCUAUGCAUGCUAUCACCAGUAUUCUGUCACGCAAUGCUUCAUAGAUUAAGAGUUAAACUUGUCUAAAAUAUUAAAAAUUAUUGAGGUGUUACAUAUUCAAUCAAUGGAAUAAUAAGCCUCAUACCGCUUCUUCCUCCGUCCUAUACCAGAGAGAUGAGUAUACCAACAUAUAUAUAUAUAUAUAUUUAUAUUCAUAAAUUGUAAUCACAUCGUUUAUAAUGAUAAACACUUCUCGACUAUUCAAUCAAUAUCAUAACACGACCUUUGGCCCAUCAAUUUAUCCAAAAUAAUCACAACAUCAUAAUCAUGGUCUUAGGACCAACAUAUAUCCAAAACUCAUAUCAAUAAUCAUAUUUAUAAGACGUAGCAUAUCCCUAAUCAUCUCACAUAUAGGAGGCAUAUCACAUAUAAGAGGCAUAAUAUUGAUAAGCAUGUCAUCAUCUCUCACACAAGAGGCAUCUCACAUCUAGGAGGAAUAACAUAGAUAGACAUGGAAUUGUCUAUAGGAUAUCUUAUAUUAAUUGGUCAUACAAUAUGACAACGAGGAAUAUCACUUCUCUUGGCCAAUUUACAUGUCCAAAAGGAACAUCGUCUCUAUAGUUCCAACAAUCAUGACUAAAAUAAAUAGCAACUCUAUAGGCCAAUCAUCAAGUCUAAGAGGAAAUAACAUCUCUACAGGCCACAUAAUGUAUCUAGGAGGAAUAUCAUCUCCAAAUGCCCAAUAUCAUUUCCACAAGGAGUAUCAUAACCAUAACUCAAAAGACAGAAUCUGAGAACAUCAAUACAAGUUACGAAGUAACCUUAUUCUAAGGUUUACUAGCCUCAUCUAUGUCUAACAUCCCCAACUAAGUCCACAGGACUUAACACAAGCUUAGGUCUAAAUGGGCCGAAUGAUCCCAUUUCUAAUCCACAAUUUUCAUAAUUAGACAUACUAUACCCUAAACAAGGCUAAGGUAUCUAGUUCAUCUUCUGGAUGUCAAGUAAGCCAUAUUUAAUCCUAAGAUAACAAAUUUGACUAGAAACAAGGGUACUCAAGUCAACUCUACCCAACUUACGAUUUUAAGAAUACCACACUAGUCCAAUAAGGCUAAAUAUACAAAUCAUACUUCAAACGCUAAAACCAUAUUCCAAACAAAGCAUUAUAUCAUAUCCAUGCUAUAACUAAAGAGGAAAGGCAAUAGGAUACAAAAGGGUCAUACACAUGCCAUCUUACGGGUCCAAAAACCCUCAUCUAUUCCACAAACAUCAACAAUCAAGGUCAAGUUAUCCUACUCAUAAUCAAGCCUAACAUCCAUAUUCACACGCAACAUAUAUCACACAUCAUUUAUAAAGAAAAGUAGGCAGAAGCCUACCUUAAGGCCAAAUCGCAAAACCUCACUUCAUGUACCUCAUGCCCAUCUUCACUUUACAAUUCUCAAAAUGCCAUCACACUAUCAAAAUCAAAAUCUACUCAUCAAUACGAGUCUAAUAAUACCCAUAUUUUACUAUUAUGCUCUGGGUCCAGAAACGACACCAAAAUCGGUCCCAUAUAUGAAAAAUGAAUUUUCGAGGCCAACUCAAUGUUCACAUGUGAACAAGGAAUCAUAACCCUCAAAGAAUGGGUAAAUACUAAGUAUACUUUGGGCUAAAAUCAAGCCCUAGGUUAAAUUGGGGUUUUGGGUCCAAACAAAGAAAUUCAAACGUGAAUUCAAGAAAUUCUUACCUUAAUCUUGAAGAUAAUCGCGAUACAAAAUGAUAAUUAAGCUCCCAAGUCACCCCCAUGACCAAUUUUGAGUUAUUGAAAAUAUACUACAAACUAACUUAGACUCUUAGCAUUAUAUGAAUGAAAAAAAUGAAGGACUUCUAAGAAUGUCACAUAGCCUCCCGAAGAUAGGAAAUGGACGUCAACGUUCCGAUCCACAGGACUCUAUUAGACAUUUGCUCUUAUACCAAUAAUAUCGGUGAAACGUAAGCUCUGAUACCAAUUUAUCACGAUCCUAUUUUCGAGUCAUUAUGGCACGUACCACAACCCACCGGUAGGCAAGCCAACAUCGUAACCCGGAGCUAAUGUAAUGGGUUACCUUAGGAGAAACGUCCAACAUGGACCCAAUGUAGCAACACAAUAUAACAACAACAUUCCACAAAUGAAAUAACUAACAUUCCAAUACCAAUCCCAUGAUCCGAUAGUACAAGUACAAGUGCAGCUCUAAAUCUAACAACAGAAAUUACAAUUCGAAGUUUGACAACUUAAAUAGUCUUAUACAAUUAUCUCGAAUACAAAAGACAAGUAAAGAUAGAGGGGAAAGAGGGCAACUCAAACUCCAAGAGCUCACCCUAUCUUCGAUUGGUCAAUGCGACACGAUCCCGACUCAACGACAGUAACUAUAACCUGGGUCUGCACCAAAAAGGUACCGAAAUGUAGUAUGAGUACCAAAAUAUGGGUACUCAGUAGGCAUUAUCGGCCGAUUGAGCUAAAUUAUAAUAUAAGGACGAUAUGAGUUAAGGCAAUAACUUAAAGUCAAAGUAUAGGACUGACCCUGAAUCUUCUUCAAUAUCACUGUAUAAAUACUAAUCAACUAUACCAAUAGUAUGAAAUUCCAUAUCUGCAUAUACCAUAAAUUUCAUACAACAUGAGUAAUCAUUUCAGAAGCGUAAAGCCGUGUAAAUAUAUAAUAAAAACCAUGAAUUUAUUGUAAUCAACACCAGCCAUCAUUAGAAUAUAAAGCACAAGAACUUACCAUGACGUCCCAUACCGCCGGAAAGUACACGCAAAAGAACACAACAAAGAACUCGUCACGACAUCCCAUACCACCGUAGAAUACACCAAAAGAAUAGAAUACAAGAACUCAUCACGGGAUCUCAUACCACCGGAGAGUACACCAAAAGAUCAAACCAUCAAUAUAUCAAGGCACAAUUACACAAUCACUUACCCCAAACCACAGGUCCACAUUCCUACCAUGGUCUUUUACUGAGGUCUACAGUCAUCAUCAAACUGCAUUUAUAUAAAACAAAAUUGAGAUCACCAUAACAUAGCUAUAUAGUCACUUAUUAUCUAUUUCAUUAAUGAACUCCAAAGUCUAGUCUAUAUUAGCUAAUCACCAGAUCCAUGAAGCACUAGUUUAUAAGUCUUAUAGUUUACUAAUCAUUAAAUAAGGAAAAGCUACAGGUUACCAACGCCAUUAUUUAUUCACCUAUCUCAAGGCCAUUAUCUAGUUAGCAACCUCAUUAUAUAAGUUGUCAUUUAAGCCACCACGACGUCACAUACGAGAAGUCAACUUAACUAUUCAUCAUACAAUACUAAGACCAAUAUCAUUAGGCAUAUUAUAACUUUAAGGACUAGUUUUCAUAUUUUAACCAAGUGAGAUCCACCAUCUGGUUUACUAGAUUUCUAGCCCACAAGUCAUAGCCAAUUAUUAGAAACAACUAGUUGUCACAUAAGCUACUUUACUAGGCAAAAUUCCAUAACAUAACCCCUUUAUUAAAGUCAAGAAGAUUACUAAGUGAGCCCUUAAUUGUACACAUGAUUAUCCUAUCUAGUGGAAUUAACCCAAUCUUUAGCCUAACUUAUCACUAGUUACUAAUUGGAGUCAACAACGGUCACACCCCUUAUUUAGUGAUUAGUGACAAAGAAUGAGUAUCAAUUACCAUAAAAGACAUCAUGUCUCGAGGACAUCAGCGGUUAGCCACACACAACAUAACCUCACAUAUAUACACAUGCAUUUAUAUAAAGUUGCCCCACACGGCAUCAUAACAUCAUUACCUCUUUCGGAUUCACCAGGUAUCAUCAUAACAUCAUUACCUCUUUCAAAUUCACCAGGUAUCAUCAUAACAUCAUUAUCACUUUUGAAUUUACCGAGCAUCAUCAUAACAUUAACAUUUCCUCCAGAUUCAUUGGGCAUCAUCAUAGUAUCAAAUUUUUAUUCGGAUUCACUGGGCAUUAUCAUAGUAUUAAUAUUUCCUCCUGAUUCAUUGAGCAUCAUCAUAGUAUCAAUAUUUCCUCUGAUUCAUCGGGCAUCAUCAUAGUAUUAAUAUUUCCUCCGAAUUCACCUGGCAUCAUCAUAGUAUUAAUUUUUCCUUUGGAUUCACCGAGAAUCAUCAUAGUAUCAAUAUUUCCUUCGAAAUCACCGGACAUCAUCAUAGAAUCAAUAUUUCCUCUGGAUUUGUUAGGCAUUAUCAUAGUAUCAAUAUUUUCUCUGUAUUCACCGGACAUUAUCAUAAUAUCAAUAUUUUCUCCAGAUUCACCGGGCAUUAUUAUAGUAUCAAUAUUUACUCCGAGUUCAUUGGGCAUCAUCAUAGAAUUAAUAUUUUCCAAGACAAAAACAUACACACAUAUAUUGGCCAAAUCAAUAAACAUACACAAGUUCACAAUAAUUGAGUAAUAGAGAUGUAAGAUACAUAAACCAUCACACUUUAUUACUAUUCAUCGUCAUUAAAUGUGAGUAGGAUCAUAAGCAUGAGUAUCCAGAUGAUAUACACAAUUACCAUCUUUCCAUGGCUAUCCAUAACAUGACAAUAAGACAACUAAUCAAGUAUACACAUUUUUCAACCAUCGACCUUAUUGAUAAAUCGAUAACCGAGUUUAACCUUUAUAAUCUCAAUAAUGUAAUUUAGAUGCUCAUCAAGUAUCUAAGUUACCAAGGAGUUGCAUAGUUCAAGCUUAAGGUGGGUCAAGUCAUACUUAUAACUCCCAAUAAUACUAAAGUCACUUCUACAAGACUAACUUUUACCCGGAUUUAGGUUAGGUUAUCUAAGUCACACCAUAAGGGCUUAUCAAUCCUUACUAAGCCUAUAGAAGAAAUCUUCUUCAAGUAUUCUUCCUAAGUCUACCCAACACCAAGGCCAUUUCAUAAUUAAGCAAUAACUAAGUCAACAUACUUUUAACGUCAAUAAACAACAUCACUCUCAUCUAGUAGAGCAACUAAAGUAUUUUCAUACUAUUUAUGAGGCUAUACAUAGAAUUAUCCAAGGUUUUAAGCUAAAGGUAUCAUAUUUUUACAAGUUUAACAACCUAUGAGAAUCAACUAAUCCCAAGCAUCAUCAUUCAAUCAUUUAUUAUCUAAAAAACCCACCCAAUAUCACAAGAUAUCAAUAAUUAUAUUAAAACCAAACUCAAUCUAAUUAUGGGUAAGCCUAACCUACCUCGAGUCCAAUUGUUCACGAACCAACAAGCUUUGCCUUCCUUUUUCUUGAAGCUUCUUCUUCAAUAAGCCAAAAUAUCAACAAAAUAAUUUAAGCAUCUUUACAAGAACAACAACACCCAUUAUGACACCAUUAUGCCAUGGGUCCAAAAUGACACCAAACCCUCAAGUGGAUCCCACCUUUGAAAAAUGAGUUUUCGAGUCCAACUCAUAGUCUAAAUAUUAUUAGGGACUAAAACCCUCAAGAAAUAUGAGUAAAUCAAUCAUAUUUGUGGCUACAAUUGAGCCUCAAAUACUUAGGGUUUUUGGGUCUAGAAAUCAAGAAAUUAUUACCAAAUUUAAAGGAAUCUUACCUUAGAUUUGUAUCAAAAAUGGAUUAUACAAGUUAUUCAAGCUCCUAAUCAACUCACAAGACUCACUUUUUAGUCAACCAUCUCUCAUGGCUUCUAGGGUUUCUAAAGAAAUGAAUAAUGCCCCCAAAAUGGUCCUAAAGGGCCUUUUAUACAAGUUUAAAUAGGCCCGCAAGGUAAAAACUUAUUUUUGACCUUCCUGACUCAUUUGGACUCUGUUUUUGCAAAUGAACUAUGUAACCCCACUAAAUUCAAUAUUUUGGAUGCAUUGGUGAAGUUGGAUUCUCCGUACAAUGUCAUUUAGGCCACUUGUAGGUCCCACACUCAUAUAUUCUGAUUUUUUACUUUUCGACUAAUGGGUCGAAAUGAGCUCAGGUGCUAUGGGAUCCGAACCAAGGGUAUAGCUACCUUAAAAUUGAUAUUACAUAGCUACUAGCGUAGUCAAAAUUUGCAUCCAAAAUUAUUUUAUUGAAGUUUUUGUUCGUCGGCCAUUUGGAAUCGACGAAGACUUCAAAUUGAAAAAGUGGUUCAAAAAAUCAAACGAACCGUCAGGUAACCGAACUAUCGAUAAUAGCAAGUCACUAAUGACUUGUGAAAGCUAUGGAGGAGCUCUAUCGGUGAAGAUAAGCAAGAACACCGUUAAUAACCUGAAGGGCCAUUUCACUCUCUAACAACAUUUAGUGUGAUUUGAUUUUAAAUGGAAUCAAAUCAAAAAAUCGAUAUUUGGUUUGAUUUGAUUUUAGAUUUAAAAAAUUGAUAAUAUUUAGUUUGAUUUUUAUUUUACUAAAAAUAACCAUAAUUCGGAGAGCAAUGAAUUCUUCUCCAAAUCAUCUCCUUCUUUGUUUAAUUUAAGAAAGAAAUCAAUUGUGUUUGAGCUUUUGAUCUCUGAACGAAUAAAUUAUAUAAAUAAAUUAGUUGAAUAGAUGAUAUUUUUCAAUAACUAAAUAUAAAUAUUUUAUACCUUAUAAUCAUUAAUUUGAUUUUAGUCUACUUAUUUUCACAUGUACUACUAUAUUUUUAAAUUUCAUUUCUUGAAAAAUAUGAAGAAAAAAAAAUAUAACACUCUAAAUUUAAUUGUCUAUAUAUAGUGUAGUGUAUAGUUUGUUUUUAAUUUACUCAAUUGAUUACUCUUUUAAUUUUUGAAAGGUUGACUAUUUUAUUUAAAGCUUUAUGUUAUUUUACGGAUGUUAGAAAUGUGAAAUGGAGUAAUCUCUAUAAUUAUGCAACAUAAAGAUGCUAAGGUUUCAAAAGAGUAUUGAAAAAUGAUGUAAAAUAUUCAACUAUACUUAUCUAGUAAUACUAGAUAUCAAUUUAUUAAUUUAUAAUGUUCAUAUGAAAUAAUUGUUUCGUGUCUUUAUUAUUUUUUAAAUAGCUAGUUAUAAACCAAAAAAUUAAACCAAAUUGAUAGUUUUAUUUUAUUUUAAAAGUUUAAAAUCAACUAAAUUACUUUAAUUUUAAUUUUAAUCAACAAUUAAUCCCCAUGAAAUCAUGAGCACCCACUAUUUUAAGAAAAAAAAUAUUGAUUGACAUUCUUUUAUGUCUUGAAUGAUAUAUUACAAUUGUGUGUUAUUAAGAAAUUAAAAUAGUAAAUAAUAUUGUAUGACAAUGAAUAUUUAUAAUUUCAUUGGAAUUGAGUAAAUCAACGAAUUAUUUUUGAUUUUUUUUUUGGGUUGAUCAAGAAGCAAAAUUGAAAAGUGAAAUAAGUAAUAAGCAAUCAAGAAACAUAGUUUAAAACAAAUAUUAUGACUAAGACAUAAUUAAAAAUUUAAACAUAAAAAUAUAAAUGGCAUAUUCAACUUUUAUUUAUCAACUCCACUUCUCAAAUAAUUAAGAUUACUUUGAUUAAUUUAUUUAAAAUUUUAUUCGAAGAUAUCAUUUUAAUUUGAAAUAUUUUUUUUUUGAAUUGGAUGAUAUAGUUUUCAAUUUAAUUUUUUUGUUCUAUCUCUAGUCCAUUAAUAUAGAGGAAUAUGAAAUUUAUAUUCAAAUGUAUGUAGAUGUGUGUGUAUAUCAUCGUAAUUUAAAGAAAAGAUUUAAUAUACAUUGUAAGAUAAAAUAUUUUAUUGGGGUAAAACAUUAAAUUUUAAUUUAAAUAAGUGAUAAAUAUAUUUAAGUUGAACCGAGAAAAAGUUGAAUAUGAAGCGAAAUAUAAAUUUACUUAUACAUUAUAUUGAUAGGAGAAUAAUCAUAUAAAAUACAUUUAUUAUUUUUUUUAAUUAUAAGUAAAUGUAUAAUUUUUUAAUUUAAUUAACUAUAUAAUUUACUAUACAUAUAAAAUACUUAGAGUAUGUAGAAUUUUUUUAUUUUUAUUAAUUGUUCUUGUAUAAAUCAAUUUUAGUUGUUCCAUAAGUUUAGGGAAUAGAAAAAAGUUAGUGCAUUUAUUAAUAUAAUUUAGAGGAGAUUUAUGUAAGAAAAUAUGAUAAAAUCUAAAAUAAGGCUAUGUAAGUCUUUUCCCAAUUGUGGCCAAAUUUGGGCCAAAAUUUUUUGGCCAUUUAGCACUUCCUUUACCAUAUAUAGUGAAUGUCUUUUUUAUCAUAGUGAAUGUAUAUUUAUGAAAAAGUUGGAAACCGAAGGUUAGUUUUUCCCUAUAAAUAAAGGAUUUUUCUUCGUUGUAAUUGACCCAUCAAGAAACCUCUCAAGAGAAAUAAUAAUCACUCUCUCUAUUCUUGUUGUUCUUACUUUAUAUUUCAUAACACGUUAUCGGCACGAUGCUUUAGCCAACCGAGCCAUAGUCAUUCAAUAUUUUUCCAUAGUCGUCCAAUAUUUUUGAUCCAAUAACUAGCGAUUCUAAUUCAGGUAACAUGUUUCAUGUAUUAUUCUUUCUUUUUCUUUGUUCUGAUGGAUCAGUUGGAUAAUAAUUACGAAAAAAAGGGAACAACACAAAAUUUUCUAAGAUCUUUGUUGUCACCUACCAAACUAAUUAUUUAUAUUAAAAAUAAAGUGUCAUUUUCUUUAUAUUUAUAACACGAUUAGUGGUUAUUCGUUUUAAUCUUUAUUAAAACUGUGAAGGAUUAGCUGAGAAAUUGAAAUUUAUAUCUAAUUACAUUGAGGUGAUAUCAUGAUCAAAUUUUUAUUUGUGGCUAUAAUUAAGAUUGGUCACAUAUUUAUGAAAGGCUCAGGUUUGAGUUCUAAUACACUGGUUGAGGAUAAGAUGAUGGAUUAAAUUUUCAUCGUACUUACAAAAGAGUAAGACAUCGGGUUAGUGUCCCGAUGCAUCAUGAUGAUAAAAUAUUAGGUUUAAAUCCCAUCGAGUUAUGCCUAAGAUGCCUUUAGAUGGGUAAGACAUUGAGUUUGAAUCUCAGUGCACCAUAUUAUGAUGACUAAGACAAAAUAAUAUGUAUUUGGUGAAAAUUCAUGAAAUCUGCCUCUUUAAAUAUACUUCAUGAAGUGAAUGUGAUAUGCUCCAUUACAUGAAGUGAAUGUGGUAGCAAUUUAUGAUAAGUCCGAAAGAUGACAAUUUGUUCCAUUCCAUGAAGUGCAUGUGAUAUGCCCCAUUCCAUGAAGUGGAUGUGAUAGCAAUAUAUGAUAAAUCUGAAAGAUGACAAUUUGCUCCAUUCUUGAAGUAAAUGUGGUAGCAAUAUAUGAUAUACUCUAAAAGAUAUGUAUGUCUCGAUGUGCUCUGAAGUAGCAAUAUCAUGAAAGAGGUUAUAAGCUAUCAUAAUUUGAUAGGCUUAAGGCACGAUUAGAUUUUAUUUCUGGGGAAUGAGAAUCUUAUUAAUGUAAACGUGCAUUUGAUUGUGAUGGUAUCACAACUAACCUCUGAAAGAGGCUGAAUAACUGAGAAGAGUUAUUUUGAAAUCUACUUUUAAAGUAUUAAAUUCGAAAAUUUAUUCAUGUAAUAGUAAAUCUGAAAUUUACUAAAAAAAGGCAUAUGUCGUGGUAAACUUGGAGCUUACUAGUAUAAAAGUUCAUAAAUUGACAUAAACGAUUGCUAUAUUCCAAAAAUAUGCAUAUUGAGUAUUAGACAUAUGCUGAAGAAAUAGAAGAUUCUUCAAGAAUUAUUGAUGUUACUUGUUCUCAUGAUAAGUUGAUUGGACCAACUAAUGUUGGGAUUUGAUCCCUCAAAAUUUAAAAAAUAUAAAAGGUGAAUAUAGGCCCGUUCACCUGUCAUGUGAUCUAAUAAGAUGCAUCGAUGUAAGAUGAUCACAUGUACGUUUAUUGUCAACCUGCAGUUUGACAUUCAUAAAGUUGCUGCUCAAUUAAAUUGAGUUAAGAGCAUAAUUUGUAGAUUGUGUAAUCAAAUAAUUCAUCUUGUUAAUGUCGGUUUGGCAUUGAAUGUCUUCGAUAAAUAACUGAAUUAUUGCUAAUGAGAACAAAAGCUUCAUGUGUUGGUUUGAAAUAUUAUAUACAAAAAUACUUGUAUGCAUCAAACCAAUAAAUUAUGAUUAAUUUUCCCUCAAAGUUGGAUCUGAGUCAGAAACCACACGUUGUUCAUCUAAUAGUUUUGAUGUGUGGUAUACGAUUAAUGAAUAUACCAUGAUGCACAAAGAUGGAUUCCUCAAAAAAGAUGAAGGGUGUAUGUUAGUUUUUCUAACAUAAGGGGGAGAUUAUAAGCAACUAAGAAAUAUAUUAGAAAUUAUUAUCAGAUUCUCAUUCAAAAGAUUAGUCAAGUCAAAUGCCGAAAGAUUCUCAUAUUUAAGCUGCAAGUGCCCCUAUUUCCUGUCCCUAAAGGACAAAGUUUAUGCACGUAUGAAGUGUGAUAGACCAAUCGGUUCCAAAUAAAAUAAUUCUUGAAAAGGAUAAGGAGCAAAUAAUCAUAAUAAGAAGACAAUGUGCUCUUGAAGAGCCCAUGACACAAUACUUCAUGAAACCUUAUGAAAGGUUCAGGUACCUCAAAAUAAUGAAGUGAUGAGAUCUCAAAAUGUUAUGUCACACUGUGAACCGAUACGAAAUGAAAUAUCAUUAAUAUCUUAGAUACAAUAUUCGCUCAAUAUUGUGAAAGAUUAUGAAGAUUCGAAUUCUAUGUUUAUUUAAGCAUGCUAACAUAGAAAUAUUUAUCAAGUGACGUGAAAGGAUGUAUCUUUGUACACAUAAAACUUAUUUAAUUUAUAAUCCAGAUACUUGGAGAUGUCGUUCAUGAAAUUUUGAAUAUUGUCAAUUGAAAAAAUUCAUAUGAAAGUUUAUUUUAAGGAUUCAAAAAGUUUCAAGCAUAUAAAAGUUUCUGGAAAAUAUUGCGCAUACGCAAGUGUACGUGGUCUCACCAAGUAAUACAGUGGCCUUUUACAAAGCCAAAUAUCGAUCCCUUAGAGACUUAUAUCAACAACUAUCUAAUUCAAGUUCAACUAUUAAGAUUAAAGUGGUGCAAUGUAACCAAAAAAGUCUUGAAAGUUUGUAAGCUAAAAGUAAACUAAAGUAAUGCGGAAAAGUAAAGACUUUGGACAAGAAAUGGAUGAAAACCCAGGGUUAAAGCACUAUGAACAAUAAUACCAUGCUAUUGAACCUCAUUCGUAAGACUUCUUAUCUUGGUUGUUGAUUCGUAGGGUUUAUCAUAUGAUUAUGGUCUCCCGACUUCUAACUUUCUACCUAACUAGACAUUACAACUAAAUCGUUGAACGGAGAUUUAAUAAUUCAUUAGAUGCAUUAAGAUGUCAUCCUACAUGUGAAAUAAGAAAGGCUUCUAGGUAUAUCCCUAUCCUGAUCGCUAAUUCAAAUUUCUUAUUUUAUUAAAGAAUAAGAACCUUACUCUAUUUAUCUGCAAGUUCUAUCUUCCUAUUCCCCCUUCGGAGUUCACAAGGUCGACAAUAUAUGUAUUCUAAGGGUAGAUAAUAUUUAAAAUAGUUAAAAAAGGGAUAAAAAAAUAAUCAAAUAUGAUAAUAAAUCCAAACAAACUCAAUUCAAAGCGAAAGUAAACAUGUUCUUGGCCUUAACCCUGGAAAAGAGGUGUUUAGCCACUAAUGGAUAUAGCCGUAAUCAAGAUUAUUAAAUACAUGCUAAAAUCCAUUAAAAAUAUAAAUUAAAAGAAAAAUCCUAAUUGAAGUGUUUUUCAGCCCCUGUCCAAGUUUCAAAGCCAUCCAAGGUGUAUAACAUCAAGUACAAUUGUCCUAUUUGUAGGAGGACAGAACUGCCGAUUUUUGCACUAGUCCGCGUUGCAAGGUUAAUUUUGCGCGUAUACCUCUGCCAAACGCACUUAUGGUGGAUACACACUAUUUUUUUUUCCUUUAGGAAUCUCCCUAUGUAUGGAACGCUUCCUAGGGACUUUGAUUUGGUCCGCGACGCGCCCUUGACAUCCAAGGUAUCCAAUUCACGUUAAGUUGUGUCUUGUGCUUUUCUUGACCCAGUCCAAGCCUUUUUGUGUUGUUUUAACUUGAUUUGAAGCUUUUAUAUCCUUCAUAUAUCAUCAUAAUCAACUCACCAAGAAUCCUAUAGCAUUAAAUACACCGGAUUAUAGCUCAAAACAAUACAACAUCAAAGACGACGAACUAGAAACUUAAGCUAGGAAUACUAGUUUUGCCCUUUUUGAUCUUUAACUUGGUUUUGACUCUUGAAUCGAUUAAAUUACACUUUAAACACUAUAAACAAGUUUUACCAACAUAAUUACACAAUAACAACCUUAGAAACUCAUUCAACACAUUAGAAUACGAUGCGAUAAACUAGAACAACGCCUAGCUUAAGCUAGUAAAACUAGUUUUCCCAUAUGAACUCUACGUGAUCAAUUUGAAUACAAACUUGUUUAAAUACACCUUAAACAUUAUUAUCAAGUUCUUAAAAACUUAUAUGAUCAUUUAUAUCAUCAUUGACUCAUUAAGCACACAAGAAGUCCUCAAAACAAGGCUAAAUAAGCUAGGAUAACAACACUAAGGCGCAUAAAUUCACCUCAGAUUAGGAAACUUAUUUAUAAUUCUUAUAUUGUAUAAGCUUAUAGCUUGAAAAUUAUUGAAAUUCUUGUAGAGUUUUCAAAAGCAAUAGGUUAUUUGCAGAAAUGAUAAACAUACCGAAUUGGAUUGGUCUUGAAGUACCAUAUCUUAGUGCAGUUGAUGCACUAAUGUAUUUUGAAAAUACUAAAAGGCUUGAUAUAGCCUUUUUUUGAUUAAUUUGUUGAAAAGAUAUAGUUCUGCUCCUAUUGUGACAUCGAAAUGGGAUAAAACACAUGAUCUUAUUUUAGUAUAAAGAUUGCAAUCGCGAUCUUAUUGGUUAUACUGAUGUUGGGUACUUAUCUGACCCACAUAAAGCUCGAUCUCAAACAGGUUAUGUGUUUAUAUAUGGUGGUACUGCCAUAUCUUAGAGAUAUACAAAGCAGUCUAUCAUAGCCACUUCAUCGAACUAUGCUGAGAUAAUAGCUAUUCAUGAAGCAGGUUAAAAAUUUGUGUUGUUGAGGUCCAUGAUAUAUCUCAUUUUAGAAAAAUAUAGUUUGAAAUGUGAAAAAAUACCCAUGAUUUUGUAUGAAGAUAAUGCAGUAUGCAUAGCACACCUUAAGGGAGGAUUCAUUAAAGGAGAAAGAACGAAGCACACUUUAUCAAAGCUUUUUUUAUAUACAUGAGCUCCAAAAGAAUGGUAAAAUUAACAUGCAACAGAUUCGUUCAAGUGACAAUGUGGCUGAUUUAUUUAUCAAGUCUCCUCCAAUUGCAACUUUUAAGAAGAUGGUGCACAAGAUCGGAAUACAAAGGUUCAAGGAUGUUCUCAUUAGGGGGAGUUAAUACGCAUUGUACUCUUUUGUCCCACUGGAUUUUUCUUAUAAGAUUUUUAAUGAGGUAAUCUAUAUACGUAUUGUUAGAGAUGUGUACUCUUUUUCCUUUACUAGAUUUUUUUUUCACUGAGUUUUUUCUAGUAAGGUUUUAACACGCACAUUAUCUAUCAAUUAGACAUUCAAAGGGGAGUGUUAUAAAUAUAUUACCAUAUAUAGUGAAUGUCUACUUUACCAUAUAUGAUGAAUGUCUAUUUAUGGAAAAGUUAGAAACCACAAGGUUAGUUUUCCCCUAUAAAUAAAGGGGUUUUUCUUCAUUGUAAUUGACCCAUCAAGAAACCUCUCAAGAGAAAUAAUAAUCAUUCUGUCUUCUCUCUCUAUUUUUGUUGUUCUUACUUUAUAUUACAUAACUAUCAAAGAAAUUUGGGAGGAGAGUUGUUGUACUAGAGUUUGCUAUUUUAUAAUACAUUUUAAAAUAUUUUUGACAAGUAAUAUUUUGAUAAAAUUUCACCAUGUGUUUGUUUAUAGUAUUUAAAAAGUAUAUUUUAUUUUUUUAAGAAAUAUGAUUUAUAUUCAUAAAUUUAGACUUUAUUAAAACUAACCAUAAGUCUGUAUUAUCAAAAAUAAGAAAUAUGCCGAAUAUUUUCUUAGAAAUUGAGAAACAGAAGAAAAUUAAGUAUACUGAAAAUUUUGUAUAAGUUGUAUUGUUAUGUACAUGACACGUCUACUAAAAAAAUUAUUUUUAAUUAUGUUUGUGUAAAGAAGUCACGAUAAUAAUACAAUAUCCACCUAUAUAUACAUAGCAAAUAUAAAUUGUAUUGUUAUGUAUAUACCCUCGUUAGUUGGUCAAUAAAUAGUGAAUGUUUUUAUAAAAGCUAAAAGUUUGAUGUAAAAUUUAAACUUUUUCUAGUAUUUCAGAAUUUGAAUUAUUUAUCCAAAAAAGUUGCAAAAUAAUGCAAAUUCUAUGGCCAAACAUUAUUUGCCAAUUUUUUUUUUAAAAAAUUUUACUUGGAAAAUCUAUAACCAAACGGAUCCUAUAUUUCUCUACAAAUGCACUGCACUCCUUUACUUUUACUUGGCACAUUUUGAUUUGGUAUAUAUAUUUAGAGAACAAUAAUUGACAUUACUAUUUUACUUUACUAUCCUUAUUAAUUAAUGUUUAGUGUUUAGUCUUGAAAAAUUAUUUGAAGAAUAAAUGAUUAAGUCUAAGAGUCAUUUAAGAAUUUUUUUUUUAUCUUUUCUUGAUAAAAAAAAAAGAAGAAAAGAAA
rnacentral:lncRNA from 1 species